rnacentral:tRNA from 1 species
GGGCGAGUGGCGUAACGGUAGCCGCGCUAGUCUUAGGAACUAGUCCCGCAAGGGGUGGGAGUUCGACUCUCCCCUCGCCCA